rnacentral:rRNA from 1 species
ACGAACGCUGGCGGCGUGCUUAACACAUGCAAGUCGAACGGUGAAGCGCCUUCCUUUUUGGUGGGUGUGGAUGAGUGGCGAACGGGUGAGUAACACGUGAGUAACCUGCCCCCUUCUUCUGGAUAACCGCAUGAAAGUGUGGCUAAUACGGGAUAUUCUGGGUCUGUCGCAUGAUGGGUCUGGGAAAGAUAUUGUUUCGGUGGGGGAUGGGCUCGCGGCCUAUCAGCUUGUUGGUGGGGUGAUGGCCUACCAAGGCGGUGACGGGUAGCCGGCCUGAGGGGGUGGACGGUCACACUGGGACUGAGACACGGCCCAGACUCCUACGGGAGGCAGCAGUGGGGAAUAUUGCACAAUGGGCGCAAGCCUGAUGCAGCGACGCCGCGUGAGGGAUGGAGGCCUUCGGGUUGUGAACCUCUUUCGCCAGUGAAGCAGGCCUGCCUCGUUUGUGGGUGGGUUGACGGUAGCUGGAUAAGAAGCGCCGGCUAACUACGUG